AGAGUUUGAUCAUGGCUCAGGACGAACGCUGGCGGCGUGCUUAACACAUGCAAGUCGAGCGGUAAGGCCCUUCGGGGUACACGAGCGGCGAACGGGUGAGUAACACGUGGGUGACCUGCCCUUAGCUCUGGGAUAAGCCUGGGAAACUGGGUCUAAUACUGGAUAUGACCUCGCGGCGCAUGUUGUGGGGUGGAAAGCUUUGGCGGCUAGGGAUGGGCCCGCGGCCUAUCAGCUUGUUGGUGGGGUGAUGGCCUACCAAGGCGACGACGGGUAGCCGGCCUGAGAGGGCGACCGGCCACACUGGGACUGAGACACGGCCCAGACUCCUACGGGAGGCAGCAGUGGGGAAUCUUGCGCAAUGGGCGAAAGCCUGACGCAGCGACGCCGCGUGAGGGAUGACGGCCUUCGGGUUGUAAACCUCUUUCAGCCCUGACGAAGCGAAAGUGACGGUAGGGGCAGAAGAAGCACCGGCCAACUACGUGCCAGCAGCCGCGGUAAUACGUAGGGUGCAAGCGUUGUCCGGAAUUAUUGGGCGUAAAGAGCUCGUAGGCGGUCUGUCGCGUCGGCUGUGAAAACUCGGGGCUCAACUCCGAGCUUGCAGUCGAUACGGGCAGGCUAGAGUUCGGCAGGGGAGACUGGAAUUCCUGGUGUAGCGGUGAAAUGCGCAGAUAUCAGGAGGAACACCGGUGGCGAAGGCGGGUCUCUGGGCCGAUACUGACGCUGAGGAGCGAAAGCGUGGGGAGCGAACAGGAUUAGAUACCCCCGUAGUCC
rnacentral:rRNA from 1 species